ACUAUUUUGACAGAAAAUUGUGGUGAAUUUAGAAUUCAUUUAUAUAUAGUUAUAAUUAUAUAGAUAGUA
rnacentral:tRNA from 1 species